rnacentral:rRNA from 1 species
GGAUCUCUUGGCUCUCGCAUCGAUGAAGAACGCAGCGAAAUGCGAUAAGUAAUGUGAAUUGCAGAAUUCAGUGAAUCAUCGAAUCUUUGAACGCACCUUGCGCUC